GACAGAGGAUGCAAACGUUGCUCGGAAUUACUGGGCGUAAAGCGCGUGUAGGCGGUCUGGUAAGUCGGACGUGAAAGCCCGGGGCUCAACCCCGGAAGCGCGCUCGAUACUGCUUGACUAGGGUCCUGAAGAGGAGAGCGGAAUUCCCGGUGUAGAGGUGAAAUUCGUAGAUAUCGGGAGGAACACCAGUGGCGAAGGCGGCUCUCUGGGCAGGUACCGACGCUGAGACGCGAAAGCGUGGGAAGCAAACAGG
rnacentral:rRNA from 1 species